AAAAUUUCCUUUCUUGCUUAGAAACAACUGGUAACUUGAGAGUGCUAACUCGUUAACUUUCUAGUUAUGAGAUCAGAUGACUAAAUUCAGUGGGAUUCAUUUGUGGCCCGACAUAUGUAGGAUUAUCGGCGUGAGACUAAGGAUAUUACAAGCAUGUAAAAGUAUUGUUAUUGUCACCUGGGAAUUGCUGGAGGACAAGUACAUGAGUAUGCAUAUAAGGUGCCAAAUUACAAAUAAACCAAAAUUAUGGGAGAAAGGAUGGAGUUUAAUUUUUUUAUCCCUAUCAGUUGCUUUCCCUAGAUACUCUUAUUUGACUAGUGUUCAGAAUGAAUUCCUCGAAAUGAUAGAUGAGAAGGAAAUGGGAUGCAUACAGUGUUUAUGGGCAGUAAAUGUAUAUAUGGAUGAGGUUGUGACGAGGGAGGACGUAUUAAUGAUUGGGAAUAAAAAAAUACCAAGAUGACACUGACUUUCCAAAGAAGACGAGAUGCAGCAAACUCUUGUUUAUGUUGCCCAAAUGCUGGGCUGGUGCCAUAAUUAAAGAAACUGGUGAUGUUUUGAAAACUGAACCAUGCAUAAAUAUGCUAUAAAAUAAAGCUUGCUAUGCAUUCUUGUACCACGAGAUGUCACCAAACCACCAAUAAAACUUAUCCUGGGGUCUUUCCAUUUAAAAAUAGGCUCUAGGUUUCUUUAACCCUAUCAUUCAGUAUGUUUGAAUGUGAAGAUGAAAUUAUAGCUUUUAAAACAAAAGGGAACUGGAGAAAAAUACAGAAACACUAUGGCUUGGGAUAAACCAUUGAGAUCCUUCCAGUUCUUCCAUUGAUUGGGUUGUUGUGUGGUUUCCGGGCUGUUUAUUUUGUAGUGCAUUUUCAAGCUAGAGAUUAAAUUAUUUUUGCUGGAGAUUUGAAACAGAGAUAUUUCUUCUGUUAAAUAAAUUCUUUUUUCUGGGCAACAAAGGACAAAAGGUGAAGGGGAAGAAGAAUAUCCAAACAGAAAAAGGCGAUAUGCAGGGAAGAUCUUCAUGUGUGAUGGUGAGGAUGGAAAAUUCGAAACUUUGCAGCAUUCGCUUUGAACAUGGCACUGUCUAAAAAGAUCAAUGAUGCAAACGGCUGCCCCCUUGUUUCGGCCCUGCCAUGUGGCUCUGGCUGCCUCUGCCAGGGAAGAAGGAAAGCCGCUCUGCUUGGUGAGUAAGCAAGGGAGGGGGGGCGGCAGUGGCGGCAGAAGAGCCUGCAAGAAGUGGCCAGACUUCUCUUCUGCCGCUGCUCCAACCGGCCAUGCUGGGAAACGUGGAGAACUCGGAAGAGGGGGCGGAAUUCUCCACAAGUCCUACGAACAGCGAGUCCACGAUAAGCAAACUGCAAAGUAGUGGAGGAACACUGUAUUGAAUCAUAACCAUGUAAAGCAUAUUUUAACAUUAUUGAUGCUAUAUAAUAAAUAAAGGUAGGAUUAUCAUACCUACUUUUGACCAUGUUGCACCUGUUUUCUAGGCAUGCCACCAGUAUCUAGUGCAGGUAUGGGUAAACCCAGGCCCGGGGGCCAGAUGCAGCCUUUUGAGCUCUUUUCUCAGACCUUCCUCUCUCUCUCUCUCUCAUGGUCCUAUCAGCAUGGGCACUGCAGUCCAACACAUCCUCAUGAUGAGAGAAGGACCGGGGAAGUAACACAUGACCUCAGCACAGCCCUGGGCAGAGCCUCUUCCUGGCCUGCUGCUCUUUGCCGGCCCACUCCCCUUCUUCGCAGCCUUUGCCCCCGUUGAUGAGGAGGGCGACUUCUCCUUCGCCUCUGCCUCCUCUUCCACCACCUUCCUCAAGGGCAAGUUCCCCCUUGGAAAGUCACUCUGGGAAAAUGCACUGCCCCCAAUGAGGGGGCUUUCAGGAGGCAGCCCACACUGUUGCUGGAAAAAGGAGCAGGAGGGAAGGAAAAAAGAAGAGCCCUGGGCAACCGCUUGCCAAGGGGAAGAUUUGACAUGUCAUACAUGCUCUCCUUCCCUUCCCUUCUGUUCCUACUCUUCUUUCCAAGGGGGAAGUUAGUCUUAAGGAAAGCAGAAGCUGUAGAGGAGUAGGAUGAAGAGGAGGCAGAGAACUCCCUCCCGGGCCACCCAACCCACUCCAGCUUGCCAUGCGGCCCCCAAGUUAAAAGUUUGCCCAUGCCUGGUCUAGUGGGACCAUCACUAAUUCCAGAUUCAAAGCUUUCAAUUUUUAAAAUCAAGUCUCCAGUCCUUGUAGGAGCAGAAUUACAAGGCAAAAUGUGCAGUCACUCUUCUGUCUAAUUGUUUUGUAAGAAACAAGUCUGCCCCUGCCUCUUAGUUAAGCCAAUGAGUGAAAUCUCACACUUAAGGCUGACACCUUAAUGGAUUUGACACCUAACAUCGGAUUUGCCCAGUUUGACAAGAUUCUUUGUCUCCCAAUAUUAUUUUGCACUUCUUUGGGUCAGUGUUACAACUUUGAAGAAAAAUCUAUUUUUUUUAAGGAAAGUCUAGCUGAAAUCUGCUCUGCAGAGCUCCUUGUAAAUAAUGCAUUGAAUGCUAUGGAGUUAAUAGAGGGGAUACAGAAGAAAAGAUACAGCAAUACAAUGAUUACAACAGAAGACUCCAGGGAAUCAGUUUGAGCCGUCUUGAUGUUACAAUAUUAUCCAUUUUUAGUACACGCUGAGAAAUAAAUCAAGUUCAGUUUUAUGAGGGGCAGUUAAGUUUCUCCAAUCACUUUCUGUGGGAAAAAAGGAUACUCCCGUUAGUGCCACUUGGGACCUCAUCACAUGGACUUCAGGAACUAUGCUAGGACACUGUCCAGAGAACAUGGGAGGCUUCCCAUGUUCUCAUUAAGAUAGAAUGGGGGGAACCCAUGUGAUGGGGAAAACAGCACAGUGGGUGAUGUGGGAUGUGGGACAAUGGUUCCUCCCGCUGUCUCAUGGAUUCGCCACACUGCCUGGCAAAUCCCCCCACUGUUGCCCGGCUUCAUGACCUCAGUAUGAUGAGGUCCUUGGUUUCUAAUCCAUCUUGCAUUCCCCCACUGUUCUUGCUACCAUCUCCUCUACCUUGCUUUGUCCUCUCCAGCUUCUUGUCUUGCACAAUACUGGCUCAGAGUGGCUUCCAAAUAGCAAACCAGUAUUUAAAAAACAGUAAAAUAAUUUAAAUAAGAUAAAAUAAGCCAAGACACAUUGGAUAGCAUACAUUUUAAAAGCUUAUAACACUAGGUAUAAUGGUAUUUGGGCUGAUUAAAUGAGGCCCAAACAGGAUGGGACACAAGGUGGAAAUCUGUAUUUUCACAUUCAUGACAGGAAGAAAAAAAAGUGAAGCAGUCACUGCUGUGUGGCCUUCGAUUGUACAAAUUUGAGAGUUGUUUGUGAGCAAGCUCACAUCGAGGUGUAUUUGCCCAGGAAACAAAUUUGCCCAGGAGAUGAGUGUGCCAAGGAGACAAACUCAUCAUGUGAUUGCUGCAUGUGUUGCUAAUGGGACAAUGAGGGAUCCAUAUGGAGCUGGAAAAUAUGAAGUGAAAAUCUUAGAUGGGGCCCAGGAUUCAAAUACCUACCGAGCCGUGGAAACCAAUUGGGUGACCUUGGACAGGUCACACUCACUCAACCUCAGAGGAAGGCAAUAGUAAACUUUGUCUGAAUAAAUACUGAGUCAAGAAAAUUCUAGGAUAAGGCCACUCUAACCUAGAAUUGAUCUGGGGAUGCAUAGUGACAGCAAAGUUCAGAAGUGACAUUUUUCAAAAUAUAGAAUUGUAUUUAGGUAUCUCAGGUACUUUUGACCUGUUAUCUUACUUGAAGGGUAGAUUUUUGGGGGAGAUGGUUUAUUUAAUUUUUUUUAUUGAUGCAUUUCAUUAUUCAUUCAUUCCAGGGAACAUGUUAGCUAGACUAAAUCAGAAUGAUUUUAUUUUCCAGGAGGAAAAUGACAAAACCAUAUCUGACAGUUGAUUUCUGAUGGAUGGUGGUGUCUGGAGAAUUCAAGUGCUGUACAACCCCUCCCAGGGGAAGCAAGGGGGGUGGACGGGUAUAGGGUUGCCUGAAAUAAUUCAUCCACGAAUAAACUUCCAAUAUGUGGUAAAAUCUGUAGCAGAUUGCUGUGGUGAUCAAAUGGGCAUCAGCAUUGGCGGUUUACUUUGUAUUUCACUUGUUUAAGCAAAGUGUCAUUAAAGCUUCUCCACCCUAUCCUGACCCCAAUUCAUUUGGGUGAUAAUCUGUUUUGCCAAAGGUCCAGUGAUUAGGUCAGAGGCUAAUCUCUUCCAUUUCUCCUGAAUGAACACUUUAGAACUCCAGCCAUUAAAAUGUUAAAGGCCACAUUCUGACUUUAGAUAUACACAGUGGAGUCAAAAGAAAUGAUGCGCAUUUGUCAGAAAACACAGUGUAACCCCAAACAAGAUAAGAACUCAUUAAGUGGCAGCCAGGUACAACAUAGCAGAGGAAGAUUCAUCCUUCAAGACAAAGCACAGCUUGCUCAAUUGGAGCUCCAGUGGUUGGAUGGAGAAUUAAAAAUUAAUGACUGAGUGGAGAAUUAAAUUUGGAAGUAGAAAUAGCUGUUGGUUAACAGGGUUGUCAAUUGUUUUCCAUUGAGAGUAAGCAGAGAAAUAAAAAAAAAAUCAUACCACCAUCAGGAGCAAAUUACAAAAUAAAUACAAAUUCAAAGAAUAAUCUGGCAUGCUUGCUGGAGGUUUGUUUCCCACAUUUGUUCUAUUCAGAGGCCAUGGUAAAAAUGGCUUUUUCCUAAAGCGCAUGGGGCUGAAUUAACUCCCCCCCCCAAAAUACUGUACAAUAUAUGUGGUGUCAUUUUCCCGGUGAGUGGUUUUGGAGUUAUGGGCUCUUUUUUAAAAAAUUCCUGGCUCAGUACUGGGAGAAGGGAUUUUUAAAAUUCUGCCAGAAGCGACUUGAGAACAUGCAAGUCGCUUCUGGUGUGAGAGAAUUGGCCGUCUACAGAUAUAUUGCCCAGGAGAUGCCUGGAUAGGUUACUAUCCUGCUGGGAGGCUUCUCUCAUAUUCCCGCAAGCUAGGGCUGACAGACAGGAGCUCACCCCGUCUCAUGGAUUAGAACCAGCAACCUUCAGGUCAGCAACCUAACUUUCAGGUCAGCAAUCCAGCUGGCACAAGGGUUUAAUCCAUUGAACCAUCAUGGCUCCUUGGGAGAAGGGAUGACAUAGUAUGAUUCUAUGGGCACGUAUACAUCGAACAUUUAAUGCAGCUUCAAGUCAACUCCAAGUUGUUGUGGCUAGAAAAUGCCUACUGACAAAGUGUGCUGCAGUGCAAAUGAAGGGGUUUAAACUACAUCAAGCCAAGUUGGGAGAAAGUCCACAUUAAACCCCUUAAUGUGGUUUAGCGAGCCUUAAAUCUAAAUCACAUUACACAGUAAAAUUGGCUCUAUAGAAUGUGAAGCGCAUUAAACAUUUGGAAUGAGGGGGUGAGGGAACUAUUUUAAAAACACUCCAAGGGCAUGGCUGGGCAGCAGGGGGCUAAUUGUCGUAUCACUUCCUCUCCUUUCUUCUUAUGCUUCUGGAGCACUGGUGUGCAUCUAGGGAUCUUAUCACAUUAGGAAAUACUCUGUUUCUGAGACUGUUUGAGAAUGAUUUCAAACGGGUCCCAUCACAUGACAUUUGCCCCAUCCUGUCAGAAUCCAUCAGCAAAGCAUCACAGAAACUGAUUAUUUGCAGACGGAAUUCUAAUCAUGUUUUUUGAAAUACUAUUCUUCCGCUGCUGAAGUGCUGUUUUUGUGUGUGAUAGGAAAAUCUGUGUGCAUCUCAUCAGCAAUUAUACUUUUUAAAAGGUCAUAAAAUGAUGUAGGGGGUGUUUUGAAUGGAUUGGGAGGAGCCAGACUUCUGUGAUGUGAUGAGUCUGAGUGCAGUAUUUUCAAAUCAUAAGAAUCAUGAUAAUCAGGUGUGAUGAGGAGGGUAUGCAUCCCGUCUCAAAACAGUAUGGAUUCAGUCCUAAAAAUAUAUGGGAUGCAUACUGAUAUAAAUGGAUUAUAUCCCAAUGUGAUAAAGUCCUUGACGGAAAAUGGGGAAAAUAUUAUGGAUUCUGGUACCGGUUUUGAGGCCACCUUCUGUGGUUAAUGUAAUCACUUUACUGGCCUGAAAUUUGUUUUUUUCACUCCAAUCUAAUUAUUUUUACAGCAAAAACAGUUUCUCACAAACCAACCUAAGAGGUCAGUGCAGAUGUUCCUGCAUGAAGAAGGCCUGAAGAGGGCAUUAGGAGCGCCUACAAAUUGAAACAUGUUGGACAUCUCAACUGAUAAACAUACUGGCUGGAAUUGUAAAGCAGUCAUCAAUGUGUAAUACUGAGUUAUGCAUUUUGUUGGAGCAUUUAAAAAUCAGUAUGUGUGUUAACUGGAAAAUGCAAAGCAUGAAGCUGAUUGGUUGUGCCACACCAAGGGAGCUAACUGAGCCUGGGAAUUUUAGCAACAGUUACAGAUGGCUUUCUGUGCAGGAGCUUAGCAAGAAGAGAGGUUUGCUCCUGGGCUGCCGAAAGGAAGACAUUUUUCAUGGACAAUCUAAGGACCAUUUGAAUCUCUUUCAAAGGACAUUGUGUGAGUCAAUGUAAUUGUUCAAAUGACUGUAUAUAUGUAGCUCUUGAACAGUAAAAUUCUUGUUCUUUACUGAU